rnacentral:tRNA from 1 species
AGCGGUUUUGCUUAAUUGGAAAAGCAUUUGACCGGUAAUCAAAGAGAUGUGAGUUUGAGUCUCAUGGUUGGUU